rnacentral:lncRNA from 1 species
GUCCAGGACUGCCCCCUCCUGGCCCACUCAGAGCCCCUGGGUGUGAGAAGCUCGUCUCCCGUGGGUUGCAUUGGCUCUGCCCUAUCUCUGCCUCCAGCACCCAGGGCGGCCGCAGAUGGCAGUGUCUCUGGGGACAGCAGCUGCGAAUGAGUCCACGGGCCAAUGCUGAGCUGCUCAGGCUGAGGCGGUGUGCUCAGCACAGAGCCCCCGGAACUGGCAUCUGCAGGGCGUGAGACUGGAUCUUGCUCCAGGCUGGAGUGCAGUGGCGGGAUCACAGCUCACUGCAGCCUCCAUCUCCCAGACUUAGGUGAUCCUUCCACCUCAGCCUCCCGGGUAACUGGGAUUACAGCCAAGGCCGCCGCGAUGCCGCACUUCCUGGACUGGUUCGUGCCGGUCUACUUGGUCAUCUCGGUCCUCAUUCUGGUGGGCUUCGGCGCCUGCAUCUACUACUUCGAGCCGGGCCUGCAGGAGGCGCACAAGUGGCGCAUGCAGCGCCCCCUGGUGGACCGCGACCUCCGCAAGACGCUAAUGGUGCGCGACAACCUGGCCUUCGGCGGCCCGGAGGUCUGAGCCGACUUGCAAAGGGGAUAGGCGGGCGGCACCGGGCGCCCUCCCCCAGCCCGCCCCGCCCGCCCAGCCCGGAGACCCCCAAGGCAGAGGGAGGCCGGCCUGUUGGCCCUCCACGCUAUCCCUCUGCAGCCUGGGCCCUCCCGACAGAGGCCCCAGGUGCGCUGGCAGUGGAGGUGGGGCACUUAGGUGCCUGGCUGGCCCAGGGCUUGCUCUCCGUGUCAAGCCGACUCACCCAGAGCCCACCCUCCCAAGCUCAGGGGCAUCCUCCGCUGGGCCCCAGUGCCUUUGCGCUGCGCAGCACUCUGCCCUCCACUGGACUCAGGCAUGUCUAUGGCUGCCUGUCCUGAGGCUCCGGAGCCCUCAUUUCUUCGUGAAGUCCCCAGCUCCCCUGCCUCCACUCAAUGGCACCGGCCCUGCAACUUUAGGCAGGUCGAAGCCAACCCAAGGAAAGAACCUAAGAACCUCGUUUGGAGGGAUGUCAGCUUGGGCCAGACCAGCCGCACCCCGCGGGGCUCAGGCUUGGAACUGGUGAGGGUGUGUGGUGGGGGUAUGCAGAGGGAUAAGACCGUGGUAGAGGAGAGGGUUGGUGAGGAGAGAGAGAGAGAGAGAGAGAGAGUCUGGGGGGAGCGGGCAAGCAUGGGGAGAUGAGAUGUGUAUAUGUGAGAGAGAGUGUGGGGGCCCCAGGCAGGGCAGGAGGUGGUGGAAACGGGGUGAACUCCGUGGGCUGUGUGAGGACUGUCCAUAGUGGGUCCCAACCCCCUCCCUCUGCUGGAGUUUCCUAGCCCUUCCCCCUCCCCAAGACUGUGGCAGCAGGCAGGAGCCCCUGCCCUCCCUCCCUGUCCUGUGCCACACUUCUGGGGCCAAACCCAGCCCCCUUGAGCCAGGCCCUGCCAGACUCCAAGCCCACCCUAGAACCCUCCUCCUGUGUGGAGACUCUGUUGCCCCACUUUGGACACAGAUUGGCAACCUGCCUCACCCCGCCCCCCUUCGCUGGGGCUUCCAUCUUAAUUUAUUCUCAAUAAUAAAGACUUCAUGAUGAUCUCUG